rnacentral:rRNA from 1 species
ACAGGGAUUGCCUCAGUAACGGCGAGUGAAGCGGCAACAGCUCAAAUUUGAAAUCUGGCCCCUAGGGCCCGAGUUGUAAUUUGCAGAGGAUGCUUUUGGCGAGGUGCCUUCCGAGUUCCCUGGAACGGGACGCCAUAGAGGGUGAGAGCCCCGUCUGGUUGGAUGCCGAGCCUCUGUAAAGCUCCUUCGACGAGUCGAGUAGUUUGGGAAUGCUGCUCUAAAUGGGAGGUAUAUGUCUUCUAAAGCUAAAUACCGGCCAGAGACCGAUAGCGCACAAGUAGAGUGAUCGAAAGAUGAAAAGCACUUUGAAAAGAGGGUUAAAUAGUACGUGAAAUUGUUGAAAGGGAAGCACUUAUGACCAGACUUGGACCCGGUGAAUCAUCCAGCGUUCUCGCUGGUGCACUUUGCCGGGCUCAGGCCAGCAUCAGUUUGCCUCGGGGGAUAAAGGCUUUGGGAAUGUGGCUCCCUCGGGAGUGUUAUAGCCCAUUGCACAAUACCCUGGGGCGGACUGAGGUUCGCGCAUCUGCAAGGAUGCUGGCGUAAUGGUCAUCAGUGACCCGUCUUGAAACACGGACCAAGGAGUCGUCUUCGUAUGCGAGUGUUCGGGUGUAAAACCCCUACGCGUAAUGAAAGUGAACGCAGGUGAGAGCUUCGGCGCAUCAUCGACCGAUCCUGAUGUUCUCGGAUGGAUUUGAGUAAGAGCAUACGGGGCCGGACCCGAAAGAAGGUGAACUAUGCCUGUAUAGGGUGAAGCCAGAGGAAACUCUGGUGGAGGCUCGCAGCGGUUCUGACGUGCAAAUCGAUCGUCAAAUAUGGGCAUGGGGGCGAAAGACUAAUCGAACCUUCUAGUAGCUGGUUUC